CCAAUAGCGUAUAUUAAAGUUGUUGCAGUUAAAAAGCUCGUAGUUGAAUUUCGGGAUUAGUACGUCGGUCGUGCCUUCGGUACGUACUGGUGUUACUGAUUCCUACCUUCUGACGAACCAUCAUGUCAUUAAUUUGGUGUGGCGGGGAAUCAGGACUGUUACUUUGAAAAAAUUAGAGUGUUUAAAGCAGGCUCGCGCUUGAAUACAUUAGCAUGGAAUAAUGAAAUAGGACGUUGACCCUAUUUUGUUGGUUUCUAGGAUUGACGUAAUGAUUAAUAGGGAUAGUUGGGGGAAUUAGUAUUCAAUUGUCAGAGGUGAAAUUCUUGGAUUUAUUGAAGACUAACUACUGCGAAAGCAUUUGCCAAGGAUGUUUUCAUUAAUCAAGAACGAAAGUUAGGGGAUCGAAGACGAUCAGAUACCGUCGUAGUCUUAACCAUAAACUAUGCCGACUAGGGAUCGGAUGAUGUUAUUUUUAAUGACUCAUUCGGCGCCUUACG
rnacentral:misc_RNA from 1 species